rnacentral:tRNA from 1 species
AGUAAAGAAGUAAAUUUUACAUUUAGUUUCGACCUAAAAAUAAGGAUAAUAAUCUUCAUACUU